GCCCGGUCCCUGCGCUCACGGGUCGGAUCGCUGUGCCGCUGGGGUGUCGGUCAGACCCCGGGAGGAAACGGGUAGUGGCAAGGAGCGCCCGUCGGGAGGCAGACGGGAGCCCACCCACCCACGGGUCUCCCCGGCCGUGGCAGCGGCGGGUUUAUCCACAGCACAAGACCACGGGGAAGCUGGGAGAUGCCUACUCCAGAGAAGGAAUUCUCGAAGCUGCUGGAGCUGUUCCCCCAGCUGGUGCAGCAGCCAUGUUGACAAGCUUAAGUUGAAAGAAGUGCACCCUUGAAGAGACAACCCUGAUGCUGUUUCACCUGUAGCACUAGGUU